rnacentral:rRNA from 1 species
UACGUAGGGGGCGAGCGUUGUCCGGAGUUACUGGGCGUAAAGGGCGUGCAGGCGGUGCAGUAAGUUUAGAAUGACAGUUCCCGGCUCAACUGGGGAAGGCCUCUGAAAACUGCUGGACUUGAGGGCCAGAGAGGGACAUAGAAUUCCGGGUGGAGUGGUGAAAUGCGUAGAUAUCCGGAGGAAUACCAAAGGCGAAGGCAGUGUCCUGGCUGGCAUCUGACGCUGAGGCGCGAAAGCUAGGGGAGCGAACAGG